rnacentral:rRNA from 1 species
ACUCCUACGGGAGGCAGCAGUGGGGAAUUUUGGACAAUGGGCGAAAGCCUGAUCCAGCAAUGCCGCGUGAGUGAAGAAGGCCUUCGGGUUGUAAAGCUCUUUUGUCAGGGAAGAAACGGUGAGAGCUAAUAUCUCUUGCUAAUGACGGUACCUGAAGAAUAAGCACCGGCUAACUACGUGCCAGCAGCCGCGGUAAUACGUAGGGUGCAAGCGUUAAUCGGAAUUACUGGGCGUAAACCGUGCGCAGGCGGUUUUGUAAGUCUGAUGUGAAAUCCCCGGGCUCAACCUGGGAAUUGCAUUGGAGACUGCAAGGCUAGAAUCUGGCAGAGGGGGGUAGAAUUCCACGUGUAGCAGUGAAAUGCGUAGAUAUGUGGAGGAACACCGAUGGCGAAGGCAGCCCCCUGGGUCAAGAUUGACGCUCAUGCACGAAAGCGUGGGGAGCAAACAGGAUUAGAUACCCUGGUAGUCCACGCCCUAAACGAUGUCUACUAGUUGUCGGGUCUUAAUUGACUUGGUAACGCAGCUAACGCGUGAAGUAGACCGCCUGGGGAGUACGGUCGCAAGAUUAAAACUCAAAGGAAUUGACGGGGACCCCCACAAGCGGUGGAGCAUGUGG